UUCUCCGUUGUACUUGUAAUGAAUACAAUCAAGCAUAUAACUGGAAAUGUCAUUUAUUUUACCAAGCAUUGCUUAAUUACAAUUUUUUAUAUAUUCGCUAUAUUUGCUUUAUUAUAUUUCUAUGAGAGUGAAAUGAAAUAUUAAAAUUAAGUAGUUUCAAAGCUUUGCACAGUAAAAAAUAAAAUAUAAUCGACCAAAUAUAGUGGGAAAUGGGGCAUUCACCAAAACAAGUAUUACUUAAUUCUAAUUUUGCAUAUUUGUUUCCUAAUGCCUGGAAGUUUCUCUAGCACAAAGUUGAUAGGAAUUUUUAAUUAUAUAAAGUUAAUUGCUUUACUAAAGAUUUUUAUAAAAAUAAAAUUGAAUUCAGACAUAAAAAUAUGAUUUAAACUUAAAGACAAUUUAUACUAAUGAUAUUCUAAAGAAGGAAAUUUUUAGAAUUGAAAUAUUAUUAAAAGAUGAUGAUCAUAAUAAUAAUAAAUACAAUUUUACUUGAAAUUAAAAUUGAUAGUAAUCAUAUAAUUUAAAACACAUUGUUUUGAUUAAAAAUAAUAAUAUGUUUAUGAUAAUAAUAAUUUAAAAUAUAAAACUGUUAAAUGUUAGUAAACUAAUUUUACUCAAACUAAUUAUGUACAACAACAAAUUAAUUUUGAAAAAAAAAUAUAUAAAAUGUUAUUAAGAUAGUUAUACUCAUAAUUUGUGUAUGGAGAUUACUAUAUCACAAAAAAGAACAUAUAAAAACAAGUUAACAGAGAGCAAAUAAAGUAAAUGUCUCGUUUUUCAAAGUAUUUAAACUUUUAAGGUUUAAUCCUUCUCUUUGGUCUUCAUUUUUGUAUGAAAAUUUAAGUUUGGUUCUCAUUUUUCUAUCUGUCUCAAUUGGGUCAUAUUUUUUGUAAAAAUAAACACGUUUUACCCUAACCGUUAACUGGUCUUAGACGGUGUUAAAUUUAUCUGAACUAUAUUUUUUCUUUUAUCCACGUGGUAUUGUGCACUAAAAUUGAAUGACUCUUGUGUUUUAUCCAGGUGGACGACCAAGCCCUAACAUUUCAGGGCAUCCUCUCUCAUCCAAAGUAUAUUUUCGUCUUGGGGAAGAAGACGUUCGUCUUUCGUCUUUCGUCUUCGCCAAGCACACAUGCUAUCUUUCGUCUUCGCCAAACACUGUGGUGUUGAGGUGCUGGGUGAGAGUGAAGAAUUGGUUGGCUGCAACUUCUUUCAGUGGUGCAUUGAAGAAGGAAAUGAAGGAAAUGGGCUGAAUGUAGAAUAAAGGAGUGGUAGUGUAAGAAAUGAAGAAGUGGGUGUGAUGAGCAUGGAAGACAGUGUGCUGCAGAUGGAAGAAACAUAUGGUGAAAAGAUCAGAAGGGCUUUUAUAGAGAAAAGUUUAGUUAAGUUGUAAAAGUGGUUGAAAUUCUUAGUGGGGAUGAUCUUUGUGAUAUUUGUUUUGAAUGUAAUUGUAUUAGCAAUGUUGCUGAAACUUGGUUGAUAUUGUCUCAUUUGAUUUCAUUGAUGAAA